GGGGACUCUCUUCCUCCCGAAGAGUGUCCACGGACGCUCAGUGCGUCCUCACGCACUUUCCUGCUCCAAAAAUUUGGCUAAAGUUUUGUUGGAAAGUAGCAUCCAGAUGUGGAAGAUUUUCAAAAGUCGUGCGUAAAUUUAGGAACUAGAUCCAGAAAAAACGAUUACUCAGGGUGGUCAAAUGAAGGUGAAGUGCUGUAGAUAUGGUGUCGGUGAAUUUGCCGUCAAAAUGAAGAGUCAGCCAGUCCCCUCGUCUGUGUGAUGUACGUACGGCCAGCUUAUUUACUCGGGAGGACAGAGGGAAAAAAAUAACAGGAAACCAACCCACAUCAAACAAUGAAGAUGAAUAUCAAUAUUUGUUCCUUUCCGGAUAAGAGGAGUUAUGCACAGUAUUACGUCAUCAUAGCAGCACUUGAAAGAAUCGAAGUUGCUUUGAGCUUGAAGAAUUUCCAGUACAGCAAUUUGGCUGUUGUCAUCUAAAUGAAGUAAAGUUAAAAUAUAGCCUUUUAACAGAAGUAAGUAGAUAUUAUUCGAAGUAUCCAUGGUCGCCAUCUGGAAGCUGUGCUUGUUAUCAAACUUGAGAUCCAGGAACCUGGUCCGAUGCUGCCAGCAGACCCUUUGGUUGUUUUCAGUUGUGAAAAUAAAUGAAGACCACCCAGACGAGGACACACAAAGGCUCUUUAUUCAAAGCUGGCUACAGCGAGGGUGUCAGUGCCGUCACAGGCUGCGCAGAGACUCGAAGGCGGCAGAGAUGGGACAGGCGUCAGGCACCGCCUGCUAGGAGGGCGCUGGCUGGGAAGCUGGAGGUGGCAGUGGUUCAUGCUUUCUGAUUGCUCUGUAGCAUCCUGUUGAAUGACUAUGCCACAAAACAGGGAAGGGCUGGAGUCUGCCCCACAUUGCUAACGCCAUUUCCUCACCUGUUGUGCAUCCUUCAGCCUCCUCCCCUAUCACAAGCAAAGAGAAUUCGCUGGCAUCAAUGCAACCAUGUUAGAAUAAAAGC
rnacentral:lncRNA from 1 species